GACGAACGCUGGCGGCGUGCCUAAUACAUGCAAGUAGAACGCUGAAGAGAGGAGCUUGCUCUUCUUGGAUGAGUUGCGAACGGGUGAGUAACGCGUAGGUAACCUGCCUUGUAGCGGGGGAUAACUAUUGGAAACGAUAGCUAAUACCGCAUAACAAUGGAUGACCCAUGUCCUUUAUUUGAAAGGGGCAAAUGCUCCACUACAAGAUGGACCUGCGUUGUAUUAGCUAGUAGGUGAGGUAACGGCUCACCUAGGCGACGUUACAUAGCCGACCUGGGAGGGUGAGCGGCCACACUGGGACUGAGACACGGCCCAGACUCCUACGGGAGGCAGCAGUAGGGAAUCUUCGGCAAUGGGGGCAACCCUGACCGAGCAACGCCGCGUGAGGGAAGAAGGUUUUCGGAUCGUAAAGCUCUGUUGUAAGUCAAGAACGAGUGUGAGAGUGGAAAGUUCACACUGUGACGGUAGCUUACCAGAAAGGGACGGCUAACUACGUG
rnacentral:rRNA from 1 species